CGUUGCCCGCCAUCUCUGUAAUCUUUUCCGGUGGGUGUGUGCGUUCUUCCGUCAUGCGCGAUGUGUCCCUUAGCCGGUGAGACAGUAGCUGCCUUUUAUUAUGAGCAGGGCAAGCCCACGGAGUCGCCUGCGCGUCGCGGACGCGAGUACAAUCGUCUCUCUGUCGCUCCCUCUCUCUGUGUUCGCGAGAUUCGAUGAUGGACCACGACCACAGCACUUCGCUCACAUGAGAGGCAGAGAGGCAGAGAGCAUGUUUCGCGGGCCUCUUCUCUCUGCACCCCUUUGGCAAUAUCACCGUCGUCCUAAAGGGUGUUUGUCGUGCCUCGCAGAAGCAACGGCAGCCGCCAGAGUGUCUCGCUUCCGUUCUUCAACGCAGGUAUACGUCUUCCUCCGACUGACAGCCUUCCCUUUCGAGUCCUCCUCGUGGUUCUCCACAGCUUCCUUCUCGCAGCAGUACCAGCCGCGUCGCCGCUGGUGUUGCCGGGGUCGCCAUCACCUUCGCUGCCGUCGGCCGAUGCCGCUCGUGAUUGCACGCUUUCCGCGUCUCCAUCUCGCCAGUCACCGCCGCAUACGCACACGCACAUGCGCAACGGUGACCCGAGAACACCACCAGAGAGAGAGGGAGGAGGCGAAGGCAGAAGACCAGCCCUCGUGUACAUUCUUCUCGGAUACGUUUUCAUCUUUAUCAGUCGUCUCCGCUCCUCGUGAUGACGUCGGGACACCGCUCAGCGCGUGGUGGUGCCACAGGGCCCAGCACACCCGCUCUCUGUGCGGGAAAGCCAAAGUAGCCGUUCCCCCCCCCUCCCUGCUAUCCCUGCCAAUGCCGAGCCACUUCUGGUGGUGAAAGUUUCAAGCACCUACGACAUGUGGAAGUUAGAGCGAUGCGUGGCUGCUGGUGUCGGCGGCCAGGUCUUGGGCGGCGUGGCAUCGGAGCGAGCCGAGCCCGUGAACACGUCUGUGCCAUCCGCAUGAUGGGCGGAGAGUGUCCGCGUGGCUCGAACGUGUCUUGCCCCCGGCCCUCGCACCACCCACUGGUGUGGGGAGCCUGAGCGCCACACGGAGAGGUGCACGGGGCGGCGACCGGCACAAUGCGAGCGGCUGUGAGGCGACCUGCAGAGCAGGUGGUCGGUAGAGCUCGAGGCAGGGGCCGCGUUCUCAGAUGACUGGGGGGGGGAGGCGGUGCGUUGGCUGUAACGCGUGUGCCUACGGCUGCUGUGUACGACGCGAUGGGGCCUGCGACGGGCCGGGGCGCGUAGAGCGGAGUUUGACCUCAUGUUGUCUGGUAGACCGCUCACGCUGAAAGAGAAACCCUCCCUAAAGUUUCUACGCCGCCACCGUGCCACCUUCCUCCUCCUCCUCGCGUGAUUCUCUCGUUGCUUCGCUCACGCGCACACGUACAUGUGUACUGAUUCUUCUCCCAUAUCCCCUCCCCUGCCUCCACCGAUUCUCUCCGUCUGUCUCUGUGUGUCUGUCUCGUCGCAUCUCUUUCGACGUGAGGAUCACAG
rnacentral:misc_RNA from 1 species